rnacentral:ncRNA from 1 species
CGCUCCGGAGAAGUCCAUCUAUUGGGUGCCGAAGGUGCAAGGCGAAAGCCAAAUCUCUCAGGCAAAAGGACGGAGU